rnacentral:rRNA from 1 species
UACAGAGGUCCCGAGCGUUGUUCGGAUUCAUUGGGCGUAAAGGGUGCGUAGGCGGCUGGGCAAGUCUGAUGUGAAAUCCUGGGGCUCAACCCUGGAACUGCAUUGGAUACUUCCUUGCUAGAGUACUGGAGAGGAAACUGGAAUUUACGGUGUAGCAGUGAAAUGCGUAGAGAUCGUAAGGAAGACCAGUGGCGAAGGCGAGUUUCUGGACAGUUACUGACGCUGAGGCACGAAGGCCAGGGGAGCAAACGGG